rnacentral:rRNA from 1 species
AGCGGCAGGCCUAAUACAUGCAAGUCGAACGGUGUCUAGCAAUAGGCAUAGUGGCGCACGGGUGCGUAACACGUAACUAACCUACCCAGAACUGGGGGAUAGCCCGCCGAAAGGCGGAUUAAUACCGCAUAACACUUGACUUCGGCAUCGGGGUUUAGUUAAAGAUUUAUUGGUUUUGGAUGGGGUUGCGGGUCAUUAGCUAGUUGGUAAGGUAACGGCUUACCAAGGCGACGAUGACUAGGGGAGCUGAGAGGCUGGUCCCCCACACGGGCACUGAGAUACGGGCCCGACUCCUACGGGAGGCAGCAGUAGGGAAUAUUGGGCAAUGGGCGAGAGCCUGACCCAGCCAUGCCGCGUGCAGGAAGAAGGCUUUCUGAGUCGUAAACUGCUUUUGAUAGGGAAGAAUAAGGCCUACGUGUAGGCUGAUGACGGUACCUACAGAAUAAGCACCGGCUAACUCCGUGCCAGCAGCCGCGGUAAUACGGAGGGUGCGAGCGUUGUCCGGAUUUAUUGGGUUUAAAGGGUGCGUAGGCGGCCGUUUAAGUCUGGGGUGAAAGCCCGUUGCUCAACAACGGAACUGCCCUGGAUACUGGAUGGCUUGAGUACAGACGAGGUUGGCGGAAUGGACCGAGUAGC